AAUGAACGCUGGCGGCAUGCCUAACACAUGCAAGUCGAACGAGCCCUCCGGGUCUUUUGGCCUAUGGCUGUGUAACGCGUGGGAACCUUCCCUCGGGUAGGAACUACCUCUCAGAAUGGGUUGCCUUCACGGAACAUGAUCUCAGACCAAAGAAUUUAUUGACUUGGAUGGGUCCGUGUUGGAAUAGGUUGUUUGUAGGGCUAAAGGCUACCAACGCGACGAAUCAUAGCUGGGCUGAGAGGAUGAUCAGCCACACUGGGAAUGAGACACGGCCCAGACUCCUACGGGAGGCAGCAGUGGGGAAUAUUGGACAAUGGGCGAAAGCCUGAUCCAGCAAUGCCGCGUGAGUGAUGAAGGCCUUAGGGUUGUAAAGCGCUUUUACCCGGGAUGAUAAUGACAGUACCGGGAGAAUAAGCUCCGGCUAACUCCGUG
rnacentral:rRNA from 1 species